CUAUCGGGGCUGGGGGAGGUGGGUAGGGGUGAGGGCAGUUGCUUGUUGGGAAGAGAGACUUGGAGUUGGCCUUGAGUCCCAUCCCCAAGACUUAUUGGAAUAGGAAAUUGCCACUUUCUGCAGCCAGAUAAGCUCUGAUGAGAACAGCUGGCCCUGGGACAGUGUUAAGAACCAAACCGAAAGCAAGCUGGUUUCCUGGUCAGCAGACACCAGGCCUAGGCUACGGUUUGUAGUCCCCACUGCAGCCUGGGCCUGUGGUGUGCUGAGUCACCACCCUAGAAGCCCUCAGUGGGGUUUUUCCAUAACUUUGAGGUUUGGAAAUGUCCCAGACUCGCCUGCUCUAGUUGGAAUCUCAUCUCUGGCGUUCCCAGAGGCUUUUUGCCCUCUCUGGGAAACAGCUGCUCAAAGACAGAAAAACCAUGCUGGGAGAGACAUUGCUCAACUAACCAAGCAAUAUUGGCUAUGUGUAUGUGACGUAAUUAAACUUCUCUGGUUUAGCCAUUCACAAAUGGCGCCAUUGUUUUCUCUGUUUGAGCCAUAUGACUGCACAUGAUCAAAGAUGAUGUCAUAUCCUAAAUGAUCUAGGCUCCAUACAGAUACUCACCUUUUCUGUCAGUAUAAUUGAUACAUGCCUACGGUAUGUGAUCGCAAACAAAAAACCUAACCUCUCUGACAUUCGGCUGUUAUCCUGGCCAGGGCUUUCUGAGGGAGAGCUUGAGGAAAAAAUUUGUGAAGAGGUAGUUUGUUCGAGAACAUGACUCCAGGAAGCAGGAAAGAGGGAUGGGGACUGAACCCUAGAAGAAAACCUGUGUAAGGUGGGUCAGCACACUGGCAAACGCUGUGGGUAUCUAGGGCUCCAUGCCAUCAUGACCUUCCCCAGAAAACCUGAAAUGUCUCAGAAUUGUCUUCUGGAGAACAAGCACUUACCCACUGGCUCCUAAUGGUCAAGGGAAACCCACAGACUCCAAGUUCCACGUAUUUAUGAGCUACAUAUGCUUGAGAUUGGUGCCCUUUUGAUUAUCUACUCAUCUGUAUUCAGGAAACAUGUUCGCUAGGUUUUGGUCAACUUGACACAAUCUCAAUUCAUCUGAGAAGAAGGAACCACAAUUCCAGAAGACUGGCCUGUGGGGCAUUUUCUUUAUUAAUGGUUAAUGUGGGAGAACCCAGUCCGUUGGUUGGUGCCACCCUUGAGUAGGUGGUCCUGGAUGGUAUACGAAUGCAAUCUGAGCAAACCAUGAAGAGCAAGUAAGGAAGCAGCUCUCUUCCAUGACCUCUGCAUCAGUUCCUGUCUCCACAUUCUUGACCUGCUUGAGUUCCUGACCUGAAUUCCUUGGAAGAUGAACUAGUUUGUAUGAUGAAAUAAACCCUUUCUUCCCCAA